AACAAGGCGUACCUGCGGACCUGCGGAAGGAUCAUUACCGAGUGCGGGCCCGCUCAGGGCCCAACCUCCCACCCGUGUCUCUUGCGUACUUUGUUGCUUUGGCGGGCCCACUGGGUCACUCCGGUCGCCGGGGGGCGCUAUGCUCCCGGGCCCGUGCCCGCCAGAGCACCCCUGUGAACCCUGAUGAAGAGAGGCUGUCUGAGUCCCACGAUAAUCGUUAAAACUUUUAGCAAUGGAUCU
rnacentral:misc_RNA from 1 species